rnacentral:misc_RNA from 1 species
UGCCAGACAACCAUUUAGCAAUCUCUUGGUGAUCUCUACCAAACUGCUCAGCUGCAUACUUUACAAAAUCACGAGCAUAGCUAUUCUCGAAGCAAGUAAUGCCAAACUUCCUCCUAGGCAAAAAGUUUGAAUCUUUAAAGUACCCUUCAUUGUAUAAAUGAGUCACAAACAUCACCAUAUCAGGUGAAAGCUCUUUGAACACAGUAUGAUCCUCCAUGCUUAACGGCGUCGACUUCCUUGAUUUUACACUCCUAACCUCCUCAUUCAUAAACAAUUCAUGUAAUUUCUUACUCUUCCCCUCAUUUUCUGACACCCCAUCACCAUUUCCAGCUUCCUCCUUCUUAUUAGCUAUCUCAUUUCUCCUCUUCUCCCGCAAAACCCUAACUUCUUCCUCCAAUUUUCUCAAUUUACACUUCAAUUCUUUGUUUUCAGUUUCAUUCUCACUUUCUGAUACUUCAGACUUUUCUAAUAGACCAACAGCUUCUUGAAAGAAAACACCCAAUGGUUUCUUUGCUACACUAUCUGAACUUGCUGAUUUUUUCUGAGACUGAGCUGAAAACGAAAAGGGUCUCCCCAAAAACGAUGAAAAUUGAUAUGGGGCUGAUGAAUUCAAGCAUGUUGAUGCUAAUGAGUUCGGGGUAAGUUGAAGAACUGUUAAAACACGCCAAGAAUUGAAUUUUCUCAGGUAUAUCAUUG